AUUGAACGCUGGCGGCAGGCUUAACACAUGCAAGUCGAGCGGGGGAGGUUGCUUCGGUAACUGACCUAGCGGCGGACGGGUGAGUAAUACUUAGGAAUCUGCCUAUUAAUGGGGGACAACAUCUCGAAAGGGAUGCUAAUACCGCAUAUGCCCUACGGGGGAAAGCAGGGGAUCACUUGUGACCUUGCGUUAAUAGAUGAGCCUAAGUCGGAUUAGCUAGUUGGUGGGGUAAAGGCCUACCAAGGCGACGAUCUGUGGCGGGUCUGAGAGGAUGAUCCGCCACACUGGGACUGAGACACGGCCCAGACUCCUACGGGAGGCAGCAGUGGGGAAUAUUGGACAAUGGGGGGAACCCUGAUCCAGCCAUGCCGCGUGUGUGAAGAAGGCCUUAUGGUUGUAAAGCACUUUAAGCGAGGAGGAGGCUCUCUUGGUUAAUACCCAAGAUGAGUGGACGUUACUCGCAGAAUAAGCACCGGCUAACUCUGUGCCAGCAGCCGCCGUAA
rnacentral:rRNA from 1 species